UCAUCCCCAUUCCGUGGGGCAGACAUCCCCAUCAGCCCCUGCCCUGGCAUUUGGGGGCAUUUGGGGGGCAGUGGGGCCAACGUCAGCCAGGCAAUGGGGCGAUAUGCAGCGGGCAUGCGUUCUUCCGAAAUCGCCAGCGCUGGCACAAGCCACCGUGCCUCUGGUGCGAGCGGAGAGUGUGAAGUUAGGAGAUAAAGAAGGAAUUAGGAGAUAAAGUCUGCCUAAUCCCGGCUGCUCCAUGCAAUUAAAAUGAGCUUCACCCCGCUGUAAUUGGAUGGAAGCCGCCCGCCAGCAGCACCGCGGCUGGGAGGAUGCGCCGCGCCGAGCACGGGGACUUAUCUCCGCCGCAGAGAAGCGCGAGGGCAGCGGCACCGGGCGCGGGAGUUAAUGGGAUGAAAGCGGAAAGGCUGACACAAAGGAUUAGCGCCCGAAAUCCCAGCGUUUGCUGGGAAGGUUUCCUCGCAUGGCACCGUGGAGCUGCACCGGGGAGGGGGCUGGCCUGGCCCCCCGGCCCCUCCGUAGGGUCCUAACGACACGUCCAGCUGCUCGUAUUAAACAGGAAUAAAAAAAAAAAAAACCCAAGUGCAGAUUAAAAGGACGCUGAUGAAAUGCCAGGAGAUGAGUUACGGCCCUAAUAAACCACCGCCUCCUGACGGGGGUGGGUGCGGGGGGCGGUUUAUGAGGCCAUUUAGACGGCGCUGGCAGAAAGGUGUAGGAAAGCCAUAAAGGCUCCGUCGCCUCUCCUGGCCCCUGAACACCAGAGCGUGGCUGUGUCAUAAAUCCACGGCAGGGCUGGGGGCCCUCGGCCCCACCGCUGCCCCAGGAGAAGCUGGGUGAAGCCGGGGUCUGGGUGGGUGGCGGCAGCUGCAGGGUGAGAGGAGGGAUGGGGUCAUCCAGGCACAGGGGCUGGGACGUGCCCUCACCGUUGGCCACCGCUCACUGCUCAGAUGGGGAUGGGGAUGGGACGGGGAUGGGGAUGGAGAUUGAGACAGGGAUGAGGCUGGGGAUGGGGACGGGGAUGGGGAUGGAGAUUGAGACAGGGAUGAGGCUGGGGAUGGGACGGGGAUGGGGAUGGUACUGGCUAGUGCUUUCCAGUGCAGGCUGCCUCAGUCAGCCUGACUCACCACAUCCGGGUUGGGUCAUGGUUUCAGCUUUGUCCUCCCGGGGCGCAGUCUCAGCCCCACACCUGGGUGACGCUGGGGACAGCAUGAUGGAUACACCUGUGGCUAUGGAGCCUGAGCCCUCUGACAGCCGGCGUGGGGCUCUUGGGGAAUGGUCUGGGGGCAGCAGGGAUCUGUUAGGGGCAGGGGGCAGCCGGGGGUCCCCAGGAGCAGACAAGACCCCACGGUCCCCAUGCAGGACAAGGGUGGGGGCCCCUCUCCCCCCACCACAUCCUGACCCAAUUUUGGGGCCCACACCUCCCACCGCUUCCCACGCUGCCUCAUUAACGAGGAAAGCCGGGAACGGCACGGAGCAUCGGCAGGCUGCGAGCGGGGAGCCGAGCCCAAACCCUCACGCAGAGGGGGAACUGCGGGUUUCUGCCGUCCCUUUGAACUCCGGCAGCCGCCUGGAGCUGCGGUUCCCUGAGCACGGAGCAGGG
rnacentral:lncRNA from 1 species